rnacentral:ribozyme from 14 species
AUGAAAACAAACGACGUCAAACGGCUUCGAAAAAGGAAUAAUUAAAUUGGAUAGCAUAAGUGCUGUCGACACUUAGUAAUUUUCAAUAUGUAUUCUUUUCUUCUUCUUCUUCUUCUUCUCUCCU